AGUACAAAAAACUGCUCCAGCCAUUGGAACUGCAAAGUGCAGCUCAUACAUUGCUGGAACAUUAGGGGCCAGAGCAGCAACCUGAUUAAAUUUAUACAGUCUCAAGACAUCAAAACAGUUGUGACUUGAUAAGGGUAAUUAUAUACAAAAGAAAAGGGAGAAAAAACCAGAAGGUGAAUCCUUGUCAGAAUCAAAGUAUUGGUGUGACCUGGAGCAGCCUGUGGAAAGCAGCGGACAAACCCCACUGCUGGAAAAAAAAAUAAAAUAAGCAGAAGAACAGA